rnacentral:rRNA from 1 species
AACGAACGCUGGCGGCAGGCUUAACACAUGCAAGUCGAGCGCCCCGCAAGGGGAGCGGCAGACGGGUGAGUAACGCGUGGGAAUCUACCCAUCUCUACGGAAUAACGCAUGGAAACGUGUGCUAAUACCGUAUACGUCCUUCGGGAGAAAGAUUUAUCGGAGAUGGAUGAGCCCGCGUUGGAUUAGCUAGUUGGUGGGGUAAAGGCCUACCAAGGCGACGAUCCAUAGCUGGUCUGAGAGGAUGAUCAGCCACACUGGGACUGAGACACGGCCCAGACUCCUACGGGAGGCAGCAGUGGGGAAUAUUGGACAAUGGGCGCAAGCCUGAUCCAGCCAUGCCGCGUGAGUGAUGAAGGCCCUAGGGUUGUAAAGCUCUUUCACCGGUGGAGAUAAUGACGGUGACCGGAGAAGAAGCCCCGGCUAACUUCGUGCCAGCCGCCGCGGUAACAC